rnacentral:rRNA from 1 species
GAUCAUGGCUCAGGAUGAACGCUGGCGGCGUGCCUAACACAUGCAAGUCGAACGGAGUUACUUUGGUGAAGUUUUCGGAUGGAUCUGAUUUAACUUAGUGGCGGACGGGUGAGUAAUGCGUGAGCAACCUGCCCUUCAGAGGGGGACGAACAGUUGGAAACGACUGCUAAUACCGCAUAAUGUAUCCGGGAGGCAUCUCCUGGAUACCAAAGGAGAAAUCCGCUGAUGGAUGGGCUCACG